AAAGUUCCCUUAGAAGACAAAGCGUUGUGCCUCCUCUAUAUAUAUCAUCUCGCUUACGUGCACGUUCUCUUAAUAAUCUUUCAACUGCUAGGAUACGAUCUACACCGGAACUCGACAAAAGAAAAUUAAAAAUCGGAAGGCGCACCCGUUCGGAUCGUUCUAAAUCAGUUGCAGGAGGCUGUCUAUACGUGGCUGUCGGCCAUACGAAAAUCAACGGCGAUGACUAACGAUAAGCUAGACACGCGUCACGGAAGAACAUUGACUCAGAGACAGACACGGGACGCAUACGCGGCGAGCCAUUCGGAAAUUCCACGAAUAUUCCUCACCGCCACCUCGUAAAUGCCGUGAAACACGCCAAACGUUUUCACGCCCUCGUCCCCUCCCCCCUGCCACUCGUGCAUCCUCACCGCCACGUGAUCGCGGGCUUUCCCUCUCCAUCCGAUGGGUUUAGAAUAACCCAAAGCUCCGCGAGUUGUUGGGUCCAUUCGCGAGUUCGAUCUCGAGUCGUCCGUUUCUUCGACAGGGAACGCGCAACAGGACAAGAGUUUCUUUUUCACCUCGACGAUGGAAAUCGCCAAAGUGAACGAGAACGCGGGUAGUCUCGUGGAGCAGUCGAUGAACAUCACGGCGGAAUCAAAAUCCGUGGCGACGAUGAAAUCCGUGGAGAGCGUGCAGACGAAAUCCGUAGUCGAGUCGUCGACGUCGAUCAAAUCCGUGACUUCGUCCUCGACCAGGUCUCAUCAAUCGAUGGAGUACGAGGAGACGAUCGAGUACAGCGACUAAUCGACCCUCCACGAAAUCCACGCCGAAUCCAAGUCCACAAAAUGCGACAACGUACCCUUAUCUUUUUUUUCUUUCUGGCAUCGAAAUCGCAGAGGGGAGAGUCGAGACGCGAUAGAGUCUCUGCGAGUCGACUCGAGCUCCUUGCCGAAAAUCUGUCGCUCGAACGCUUCGAGUUUUCGAGGAUUCGAGACUGGAAUAGCCGAGAGUGUGGAAACGUGUGGUUUCGUUCCUGUCAGCCGCUUCUGUCGGAUUCAAAGGGAAAUGCGGUUAGAAAGCGGGUGGAAACUCUGCUCGCGCGUUCCGCAUGCUGAUUCGCACGGAGAAGUUGGAAAGGAAGAAGUUGCGUCACGAAGAGGUGCACGUUCGAAGAAUAUUUUUGGAGAAUAAUGGAGGAAAGAUACGUCGAGUCGAGUCAUGGAAUGACCGAUCGACGGGUCAAAGUGUGGAUGGGACGACGGGUUUCAGAAAUAACCGCUCCCUUCUUGAGUUGCUACGAGUGAUAAUGAAAAAAAAGAAGAAGAAGAAGAAGAGGAAAAGGAAGGAACGCGAGCUCUGGCUCUCCUCCAAUCGGCGUGGUUCAUCGCCAAAUAACGACUCGCCCCAUCCUUUUCUCCCUUCCUCGAGGAUCCUCCAUGAAGGUCCUCCAUCCCCCUGAUCCUCUUUUAAAUGUCUGUUUAAGCCUCUACAUCAUUGUCACGUCUCGCGAUCCCACACUUCAUUGUGAACUUUCGGUUAUCUUUGUAUAAUAAAGUUUCUAAGAUAUUGUUCUCUGGCUUCGUUCAAUCUUAUCCUUCCCCAUUAUCGCGUUGCAGAAUAGCAACGUGAUUGCGGCUCGUUAUUCGAAUGAUUUAAAGACCUAAACGAAAGGAGGAAAUAUUGUUGAAAAUUCGUUCAACGAUUCCAUUCUUUUUCUCAAAUUCUUUUCCUCUUCUUUCUCUUCUUCUUUUUAUUUCUCAUCACCGCGAUGCUACGAUAAUUUCGUCAAAUGACACUCGUUUAUUACUCGCCCUUAACCUUUGCAUUCGAUCGCAGGAAAAAAAUGUCAUCGUAGUCAUGACGAAAGUCAGGGACGACCGAUAAUUCAAGCUGCGGUUCCGGAUUCGAUGUUGGAUUCGAGAUCCAAUUAAACGACGUGAAAUGAAAACCGUGAAAAGGGACAAAUUUUCAUUUACGAUCACCGUCGAUCUCUUCGUCGCGAGAAACAAUCGAAAAUUUGGUCGAAUCAAAAAUAGAAUGUUUCGCCACUUCGACCACGAAACAGUGAAUUCGCCAAAUUCUUUUAACCGAUAGAAGAUACUUUCUUGUUGGAACAUAUUCUGCACCUCGCUGAGAUGAACAACAAGAUUUUUCACGUCUCCUCGCGAAGAAAUAAAGUUGUUGUUGAUCCAGUCUCGCGAACAAAGAAGUAGGUUGCCGCUCACCUGGAGCGAAUAAAUUGUAUGGAAGAUCGAGAGGAACAGAGGAGCGUUUAUUAAGCGAGAAGUGGAGAUUGGAAGGGAGGGGAGAGAUAUGGAGAUUUAUAAAUGAUUUUUUUCAGACGUGAGAAAGGAGGAAGAAAGAGAGCGAAGAAUCUCUCGAUUAAAGAAACGAGACGGAGAGGAGAAGACGAAGGGAUUAAUUACCUGCUACUGUUGACCGAGGUGUUGCUUCUGCUGCGCCUCGAGAUAAUCGAAUCUCCACGAUUAACGACGCCUUUAUGGGUGAUGCUGAAUGCCCGCAAUCUGUACAGAUCCUCCCCCGCUCUCGGAUUGUACGCUUUCUCCGGCAGGCUGUGCACUCGUGGCCUGAUGUGAUCCGGCACUGAAACGUAUCGAUGAACGGUUAAUUAAAACCAACCUAUUAGUUCAACGUAAAUAGAUCUAAACGCGCGGACAUUCCAUUAAUUGGAUAGAUAUCUCCUCGUCGAUCUACAUUCCAACUUUUGAAUUUAUCUUUUAAUCAACUAGUCGAAAUAACGAUUCUCUCUUCUUAUAUGGAACAUUUAUAUAGGAUUUAUAUAGGACAAAUAUAUCGUGCACGAAUAUUCGAUCGGUUAAGAAGAGGGAAUAAAGAGGGAAAGAGAAAAGUUUGCGCAUCUUGAAUUUUUAAUUAUUUGCCCGUCAACAAAUUAAUCGAUCGUUUUCGAUUCGCGUUAAACUAUCCAUCAUCGAUUCUCCUUUUUUUUUAUCCCCUCCCUCCUUCUUCCUUUUCUCUCUUUAGGUUUGGAAAUUUUCCAAUUGCGAAACAAUCCUCGUGAUCAAAGCGACGCGACACGUGGAACACUAGCCAUGCUUCUGCCUUCGAGGGCUUCCCAAUUUCCUGUCCCAACAACUAACUAGCCAACGUCUUUUAUGUCUGCCUGUCAAUUUCCAUACGUGGUUCUUUCUUUCUUUUUUUUCUUUUUUUUCCUUUUUUUUCCUUUUUUUUUUUUUAUAUAACACUUGAAACACAAAGCAAGCGCGUACAGCAGCGCGUAUAUAGGGAGGGGGAGGGAAAAAAUGAUACUCCAUUUUUCAUCUCAAUCUCGAAUUUCGCGUACAAAUUCGAUUUAUCUCUCUGCGCAAAUUUCACGAAAUUUUGUUUGGUUUCAACAAAUGAAACAACAUGAACGUUCCCUUCAGUUUCAAAACUAACUUUUAUAGUGUACAAUUUUAUUAAACUUUUUAGAGAUUUUUCCUAUCCACGUAUCAUCUUCAGGGCCAAUAAUAUUAUUGUACGCGCGGACACAAUAUUUUGUCGGGCGAACCGGCCAUCUAUCUCUUCGCAAUCCAUUUCACGUUUCAUGUAUAUUUGAAUAUCAAUCUAUAGAAAUAUGAAACGAUAUAGGGACUUGACGUUUUAGGAAUACCCGUGAUCCUGCAUUCACAAAGAGGCGCUCCGAAACGCGACAGCGUCGAAGUAUCAUCUUCUCCGCCUUUAUAACUUGACCACAGCUGACUUAUAUAUAUAUAUUAGAUCUCUGUCGGAUCUCCGUCGAAUAAAUUACGACGUAGAAGGAGGAGCCGUAACGUAGAUCGAAUUAAAUUGUCUCCUUCGUAUUGAUACAUUCAGGAUUCGGAAUUCGUCCAAGUCGACCAAAGUGAGGAUGCCAGAAAAAUGCAAAGAUGGACGAUCCACGAUUUCUCUCCAUCUAAUUUUCUCCGAUAUUUUCUUCUGCGUUCGACGAGCGAUACUUCGUUAACACAGGGAUGCAGAAGUUUGAGAGACGGGCUCGAAAUGGAGCAAGGGUCCGCGUAGCGUUUGGGCGCAUCGACAAAGGUUGGCUCCACCAUUUAAUGCGGUUACAACUCGACGAGCCACUCAAGAAGUUCGUCUCCCGGACCGAGUAGCUAAUUACGGGAACGAGGGCGGGUGUAACUUCGCCUCGACGAAAUUAACGGCGAAUUUUCGUCGAUUCCGUGGGAAAUUUCAAUGCCAGAGACCGGACUUGGACGGAACAGAAACGUCCUUCGAUUAAUUAGACGCGAGUUGAAUCCGAUUUUCUUUUCGUUCGAAUCAUCGGCGAAAGGAUAAAACUUGGACAAAUCGAGGUGUCGAAAUGCCGAGAUAUAGAAUUGAGAGAAAGAUGGGAAGGGAGGUAAAUCAUAGUUCGCGCACAAUUUAAUUAUCCGCACAUAAUUUAAUUUUAACGAAAAACACUCGGUGGUUGGGUUUCGCUCUCGAAGAAACAGCAAUGACGAAUAAUUAAAUGGAUACGAGAAUGAUAAAUGAAAGAAGGGAUUUUGAGACGUUGGAUGCAACGCGUCUUACUCUACUUUCUUUGCUCUUCCAACGAGAGGCAAGGUAUAUGUGUGUUGAAGUGCAAGUUGACUUUGAACGAAAAGAGAUGCCUGAAACGAAUAAAAGAGUUCAUCCUUUGCUGUUUGUAUUGUGAAUCUUCGUUUUCAAUUAUCAUCUUCAUUUUUGCUUAACUGAGAUUGAAUUCACGAUUGAUCAGAUUCUCCAAAGGAUUGGUUGUUGGAUUCUAAUCGAUUUCUGCUUUCUGGAAACUGUGAAUCUUAAUUUUCCUUCUAAUAAUUAUUCUUGACGAAAAUAUAAUUAAGAGGGACUUAGAGAGAACGAAUGGUUUCCAAGAAACAAUGAGUUAUCGCGUAUAUCGUGUUUGAGGGCCAGGAUCCUUGCAACUGCUUUUCCGAUCAUUGAUCGCAAGACACUUGACGCGCGCAAAUAUGAUUUAUGAAGUGGUUUCCAUUACCAUUGCAUUUCAAUAGUUUCUGGAAUACUUGCUAUUAAGAGUUUGGAACAAUAUGAAACUUGUUCGUAAAUUACUGCUAAGAAAUUGGAAAAUUAAACUAUUGGGAAUAUUGAAACUAUUGAAAAAGUGAAAUUCGACCUAUCUUACUUUAUAGAUAGUGAUUAUCUUUUAUUCUUAACAAUAUAUACAUAUAUAUAUACAUGUAUAUAUAUGGAAUAUGUUAUAGAAUACGUUUGGAAAAUCAGAUUGUUCGGAUUCUAAAGCAAACACAAGAAUUAAUGAAUUAUAAACAAUUGAAAAUUCAUUCUUUCUACACUCUCAACUGAUAUAUCAAUUUUUGCCUUCGUUUUGGCGAAUAUGCAUAUGAAAAAAAUUGCAAUAAUUUUUUUUCAUCGAAUUCAACACGUAUAUACCUGAUGAAACAACUGAUGAAAUAAGAAUGUUGCGAUACUCGUACUCUUGAAAUAUUUACCAAGCGAAUGAAAAUACGGUAUAUACAUAUUUUUUUUUGCAAACGAUAUUUCACGUGCCGCGAGAAAGAAAAAAAAACGAUAAAAGUAUUCGACAAAACCUAUCAAAGAACGACUCGUGCAAACGUAUCGUAUCUGACCGUUGCAUCUUGUGUGCACUUUCUCGGUCAUUCUUUCCUUUUUGAAAACGAAACUGAAACGUUUUGUUCCCGAUCUAAGGAUUCCUCCCUUUCACGAAUAUUAUCUCCUAUAUUUUCCUUCUAUAUUCACCGCGUUAAAUAAUACAACUUUUCCUUUAGAGAGGAAAACUCGCCUGUUAUAUCUCAAGAUUGUCCUUAUUAUACACUAUGUUAUAAUCCUAUUGUAGGAGGCGAGGAAAAAUGAGAGAACCUCGUGGAAUUUGAAAGCCUGCUCCCUCGCUACAUUAUUGCUCUUUUAUGGCGAAUCCAAUCUCGCGCUAUUAUUUGAAAAGGAAGGGAGAAAGAGAAAAAAAGAAUAGCAACAUACGCGUUUUAAAAAAGUCUUACAGGGAAGUUAGUUAUAUACGUAUUUGCUUCAAAAUUGGAAAAAAAAAAAAAAAAGAAAGGAAAAACGUAUCCAUUAUCAUCGACGAUAUAGAAAAUAUUCGAAAUGCGCGUUAUCACUAUUAACAAUAAACCGAUAAUUUUCCCGUCGCAUCGAUUUUCUAUAUCUCUCUCGUUAAUGAGAAUUCAGAUUCGAGAAAAAAUUCGUUAUCGCAUCGAUUCGUUCGUUUUUUCCACCCUUUUUUCCCCUCCACGAAUCACAGCCAAUUAGCAACGCUUUCUAAUAUCUCUGGUUUCAAUACCGCAUGCUCGGUCCCCGCGGAUCAUCCAGGGGGGAAAAAAGGGAAAGCCUAUCGCGAUAGCUUGUUUACGGAAAGUAUUUGCCCAGCGACGUAAUUAAUUUCCAACCUACUCCUCGAUACUCGAGGGUAAUCCGCCACUUUGAUACGCUGUAUCGACGUGCACCGUCAGGAAAUUCCAGGAUGAGCGAAUCGACAGGCGCAUUGCGAAACAUUAGGAGACAAAGCUAUUCCUUUUUCGCGACAUUUACAUUUCCUCGAUGAUUCCUCGUGGAAAGUUGCUCUCGAAGUCGCGCGGAUCGAAAAAAAAUCGUUUUCGAUGUGAAAUGGAAGUUGAACACGCGAUCGUAUCGACGAGAAGUGGAAACAAAUCUAUGGGACGGGACUUUUUUCCAUUUUUCUUUUCCUUUUUUCUCCUCCCUGUCAUCCCUGUUAAACAGCGACGUUUUGACGAAUGAACGCUACUUAAAUAUUGAUAAGAAGAGAAAAACCGCGAGGGGAGGAAGUGAUCUCUCCUGUCAAGACGGGGGUGGGAGGGAGGAGAGGAUCGUUCGAAUGCAUCAAGUUGAGUACGCGUGCACAUUUAUUUCGGUUUGACGGAGGAGAGACCUCGUUUCGAAUUGUGCAUUGAAAGUUUAAACGAGGGCGAGCCGACGACGUCGACGCUUCCGAUACGAUUCAACGUAAACAGCAAGGCGCGAUUAAAAAAUACCGGUAACAAUACCCGUGUUGAUAACUUGACCCUGUUUCUUUUGAAUCGUUCAAUCGUCGCGCGGCUGUGUUACGAAAAAACUUUUACGAAAGAAGAAUCUCAUCCUCCUCAUCCUCCCACGCGCUUGCUCGAAAUUCGCCUUCCACUCUGAGUAAAAUUUUUCGUAAUGCCCGAUUAAGAGGAAAAGAUAAGAAAUUAACGAUACCCAUGUCGAUAGCUUGACUCUGUUUCCGUUCGAUCGUUCAAUCGUCACUCUGAUCCCCCACGCGAAACUCACCUUCCACUCUGAGUAAAAUUUUUCGCAAUACCUUAUUAAAAAAUAUCCGUGUUGAUAACUUGAUCCUCGUUUCUGCUGAAAUUUUUGGCGGCACGUGAUCGAGAAAAGAGAGAAGAAGAUUUAAAGUGCACGCUUACCGGGUAAUUCCAAGAAAUUAGAAGUUCUCCGCUGCCUGGCACGAGGGUGCGCUGUGAAAUUCAAUGGGCCCACGCUCUCGUUGCUGACGUUCGACAAAUUGGAGCACUGGCUGUCGCGGGAGCCACGUCUGGACGCGAGAUAGGCUGCAACACAGAGAGAGAAAGAGAGAGAGAGAGAGGGGAGAAUUUGAUGAAACCGAAAUUCGGGGCACGUGGCGAGCUUCGAAGGGAUUUGUCGCGGACGAUCGAGGGAUUCGGGAGCCACGACAGGUUCACAUCGCUAAUCAUCGUGGAACGAGAAAUUACCGAGAAAUGCCGAUUCACUGCGAUCGUGACCGUGUUCGUUUCCCAAUCGUGCCUGAUUCGAACGGUAUAUAGUCCCUUCAGGAUUAAAGAUCGAACGAGAUUAGGGGAUUAGCCGGUCGAAAUACGCGAGGCGGCCUUUCGUUCCCGAUGAAAAAGAGGAGAAGAGGAGGGAGGACGAGGGAGAGAGGAAAAAAUGGAAGGUAGAGUGGAAAAAGAUGGAAAAGGGAGCUUUUUCUAUCCCAAAAAACCUUUAAACGAGAAUUCAAUUGGGAGAGGUAAGACGAUCCUGGAAAAAUGAUUUACAUCGAGCCGAUUUUUGAGCCUCUCUCCUUGUCUACCGCGCAACCAGAUUGAGGGAGGCUGCGCAAUAAUAGAUUAUGAGAAACGUGUAGGGCGAGUUGUUCGGAUGGAUGGAACUUUUCGGUCGGAAAUAAUUUCGAGGGAAUAUCGGGGGUAUCGCGGGCUUAAACCGUUAUAAUUAUGAUCUGUGCGCGGUCCCCACGCUCGGAUUGCAAUUUAUAAGGAACAAAACUCUCCGAUUUAGGAAACAAUGGGAUUUGAAACGGAAAGCUAAGCAAGCAAAUCGCGUUCUCGCCCGGAGAAGCGGACGAAAUAAUUUCGACGAAAGUAUGCGUCACGUUUCCAAGAUUUGACGAACGAACAAUCUCUUCCCUCCUUCCGAUUUACCUCGUUUCCUCUCGUUUUGUUUCUUUCUUUUUUUCUCUCUCUCUCUAUAACGAUACCGCGUCGCGAUAACCCGUGUUCCCCAUUCUUCCUUUUCCGCUUUAUUACGGGAUAAUUCGAGAGUUCGAUUGCGAGGGAAAAUUCGAAAAAGAAAAAGCACGCGGCUCGUUAUCGACGCGUUACUCGGCAACUCGAGGGAAAUCUGUUCGAGACGGGUGGAGGAUUAAUUAAAACCGAUAAUCCUGUCGUCUAUUAGAAGCACCGUUCUAAAAAAAAAAAAGAAGAAGAAGAAGAAGAAGAGGAGGAGGAGGAGGAUAAAUAUCGAUUGUGCAAUCGGUUAUAAUAAUUUUAAGCCGAUCGACGGAUCCCUGUUCUCUCGUUAAUCGGCACGCGGGAGUAUUGUCCCGCGCGGAUGAUCCGCCGUUCGAAUAAUUAGAGACGUUCGGGAAACGAUACAUCUCAUUAAUCGGAUAAUAUAAUUUGCGAUUUCAUCGGUCGUAACUCGCCCACGCGAUAACGAAUCGAUAAUUAACUCUCUCUCCUUUGCGCGGCAAUAGCCCCCGUUAAUUGAAUCUUUUUCGCGCUCGUUACAUUUCGCAAAUGCUUUUAAAACGAGGGGAUGAUUCCUUUGACGGUGGGAGUCAAGGACUCCGGAUCGACCUAGUUUGACCGAACGAAUAUUGUUAAUUAUCUCUCCGCGCCACUUUUUCCAAAUUAACUAAUACCCCGACGCGACCUUUAUUAACUUGUUUCAGUAGUUAUCAAAGAUAAAUUUGCAAUUAUACGUACACCUGUGUGGAUUAAGUUUUCCCCCCUUUUUUUUCAUCAAAAGAAAAAAAACCCACGAAAGUCGAACGAAAAUUAGAAAAAAAAGAAAAGAAAA